rnacentral:rRNA from 1 species
UACGUAGGGUGCAAGCGUCGUCCGGAAUUAUUGGGCGUAAAGAGCUCGUAGGCGGUCUGUCGCGUCGGAUGUGAAAACCCAGGGCUCAACCCUGGGCCUGCAUUCGAUACGGGCAGACUAGAGUUCGGUAGGGGAGACUGGAAUUCCUGGUGUAGCGGUGAAAUGCGCAGAUAUCAGGAGGAACACCGGUGGCGAAGGCGGGUCUCUGGGCCGAAACUGACGCUGAGGAGCGAAAGCGUGGGGAGCAAACAGG